UGACAAUCGUAGGAUUUGUUUUCACUUUUAAGGUGAAAGCAGAGAAGAAACUUGGACACUGGCUGCCAUCUUGCCAUCGGAGAAGAGAGCCAAUGGGCAAAAGAAGCCAACAGAGGAGGGCACAGGCAAGGGCAGCAAGUGGCCAGAGUCGCUGGCCCCACCCUCCAUGAACUGGCCUCUCUGCUUUCCCAGUCCCGACUUGGCACACAUCAGUCUAAGUGUUGGGAUGACAUGGCCACGAGGAAGCAUGAAUGGCAGUUAAAACAAGUAUACUGAAUGCAGACUUAAAGAGAUGUCAGGCAACAGGAAAGAGCACAUCACAGAUAUUACUACUCUGGAAAUACAAGGAGGACCUUUAUCUGGGGAACGGGAACGGCUGUGUUUUUAGAAGACAGAGCUUCUCUGUCUUGAUAUUCACAGCAGUAAACCUUCCAGUUUCCCUCUCUCCCGUACACCACUGUACUUCAGCGCCAACUCUACUUUGCAUCAGGAUUAGCAGAUACCAGUCUGAAUCCAUCCAGAUGUUUUGACAAUUGCCACCUAUAAAACAGCAGCUUCAGACAAUAGAAGCUCAGAAGCUCUCCAAGCAAGUCAAACCAGCUUUGAAGCCCCGUGACAGAUG
rnacentral:sRNA from 1 species